AUGCUCGUUUCAGUAGCACAUAUGCUAAGAUCAGAACAAUAAAGAGAAGAUUAGCAUGGCCCCUGCACAAGGGUGACACGCAAAUUCAUGAAGCGUUCCAUACUUGA